AGGAGAUAUUCAGUAAGGAACCGAAAGAGUCUCACAAUAUCUCUCAAACUGCAUGAGCUGGGAGGAAAACAACCCGACAGCAGAAGCCAAGCUACGUCGGCUAUAUUCUUACCGUUCAUCUCGUGAGCUGUGGCAUUGCUGGAGGCAACGUGAACCCGGUUUUAAACCCAGAACAACGGUCAGGUUUUUUUAGUUGGUGGACAGUGAGUUCCCAGGACCCAAACGAGAUCCCAGAUGGCGAGCCGAAGAACCUAGGAGGAAAACGCGUACCAUACACACACAUACACAUUUUUUUCAUUAUUGAGAACUCUUAGAUACAGGUGCACCUGCAAUAACUCAGGGCCCCAACGGACAAAUUUUUUUUUUUUUGUG